GCGGAGGUUUCCUAGUCUGGUCAAACGCUAGGACCCUUGGAGCAAGAAACAUUUGCGAAGUUGAGGGCCUUGUGACUUAGUGAUAUGGCGCGGCAGGCGCUAUUUCGGGGAAUGUCUACGGGAGUUCAAAUCUCCCCCUCCGCA
rnacentral:tRNA from 1 species